ACGUGACGGGCCCGGCUGUAGCGGCGGCGGCCGCGGCGUCUUAAGCGGCGCCCAGUGCAGGAUGGUGCUGGAGGCGGCGGCGGCCGUGGUGGCGGCAGCGUCGUUGGCGGCAGCGGGAGUGGGUGCGGCGGCAGCGGCGGCGGCGCCCGCGGGUGGUAUAAAAUGGCGGAUUUCGAAGAGUUGAGGGAUCUCCAGUACAAUGUUGAAUAGAAGCUGUGAUGGGGGCAUCCUGAUCUUGUUCCUGAUUUUAAAGGGAAUGCUUUCAAAGUUUCACAAGUGGCUGUACCAUUUUACAUCCCUACCAGCAAUGUAUGGAGUGAUCCAGUUUCUCAGCAUCCUCGCCAGCAUUUGGUGUUAUCAGUGUUUUUCAUUUUAGCCAUUCUGAAUAUGGUUUCUAGUUUUAGGGUUUCUGAACUACAAGUAUUACUAGGCUUUGCUGGACGGAAUAAAAGUGGACGCAAGCAUGACCUCCUGAUGAGGGCGCUGCAUUUAUUGAAGAGCGGCUGCAGCCCUGCGGUUCAGAUUAAAAUCCGAGAAUUGUAUAGACGCCGAUAUCCACGAACUCUUGAAGGACUUUCUGAUUUAUCCACAAUCAAAUCAUCGGUUUUCAGUUUGGAUGGUGGCUCAUCACCUGUAGAACCUGACUUGGCCGUGGCUGGAAUCCACUCGUUGCCUUCCACUUCAGUUACACCUCACUCACCAUCCUCUCCUGUUGGUUCUGUGCUGCUUCAAGAUACUAAGCCCACAUUUGAGAUGCAGCAGCCAUCUCCCCCAAUUCCUCCUGUCCAUCCUGAUGUGCAGUUAAAAAAUCUGCCCUUUUAUGAUGUCCUUGAUGUUCUCAUCAAGCCCACGAGUUUAGUUCAAAGCAGUAUUCAGCGAUUUCAAGAGAAGUUUUUUAUUUUUGCUUUGACACCUCAACAAGUUAGAGAGAUAUGCAUAUCCAGGGAUUUUUUGCCAGGUGGUAGGAGAGAUUAUACAGUCCAAGUUCAGUUGAGACUUUGCCUGGCAGAGACAAGUUGCCCUCAAGAAGAUAACUAUCCAAAUAGUCUAUGUAUAAAAGUAAAUGGGAAGCUAUUUCCUUUGCCUGGCUAUGCACCACCGCCUAAAAAUGGGAUUGAACAGAAGCGCCCUGGACGCCCCUUGAAUAUUACAUCUUUAGUUAGGUUAUCUUCAGCUGUGCCAAACCAAAUUUCCAUUUCUUGGGCAUCAGAAAUUGGGAAGAAUUACUCUAUGUCUGUAUAUCUUGUACGGCAGCUUACAUCAGCCAUGUUAUUACAGAGAUUAAAAAUGAAAGGUAUUAGAAACCCUGAUCAUUCCAGAGCACUAAUUAAAGAAAAACUUACUGCAGAUCCUGAUAGUGAAAUUGCUACAACUAGCCUUCGGGUAUCCUUGAUGUGCCCUUUAGGAAAAAUGAGGCUGACAAUCCCAUGCCGUGCAGUGACUUGUACACAUCUGCAGUGUUUUGAUGCUGCCCUCUAUCUACAAAUGAAUGAGAAAAAGCCCACCUGGAUUUGUCCUGUGUGUGACAAAAAAGCUGCCUAUGAAAGUCUAAUAUUAGAUGGGCUUUUUAUGGAAAUUCUCAAUGACUGUUCUGAUGUAGAUGAGAUCAAAUUCCAAGAAGAUGGUUCUUGGUGUCCAAUGAGACCGAAGAAAGAAGCUAUGAAAGUAUCCAGCCAACCGUGUACAAAAAUAGAAAGUUCAAGCGUCCUCAGUAAGCCUUGUUCAGUGACUGUAGCCAGUGAGGCAAGCAAGAAGAAAGUAGAUGUUAUUGAUCUUACAAUAGAAAGCUCUUCUGACGAAGAGGAAGACCCUCCUGCCAAAAGGAAAUGCAUCUUUAUGUCAGAAACACAAAGCAGCCCAACCAAAGGGGUUCUCAUGUAUCAGCCAUCUUCUGUAAGGGUGCCCAGUGUGACUUCGGUUGAUCCUGCUGCUAUUCCGCCUUCAUUAACAGACUACUCAGUACCAUUCCACCAUACGCCAAUAUCAAGCAUGUCAUCAGAUUUGCCAGGAGAACAAAGAAGAAAUGAUAUUAAUAAUGAACUGAAGCUUGGAACAUCUUCUGAUACUGUGCAACAGUGAAUACAAAAUAAAACAAAUAAUUUGUAUUUAUGGAGUGGAAAACAGCUUAUUUCAAGGAAAAAUAUGACUGCCUUAUUAUUGCUAGUGCCAUAUUGUCAGGUUUGGAUUUUCUUUCCCUUAUUCCAGUUGAUCCCCAGCAGUACUGUCCUCCUAUGUUUUUGGAUAGUCUCACCUCACCCUUAACAGCAAGCAGUACGUCUGUCACCACCACCAGCUCCCAUGAAAGCAGUACUCAUGUUAGUUCAUCCAGCAGCAGGAGUGAGACAGGGGUCAUAACCAGCAGUGGAAGUAACAUUCCUGACAUCAUCUCAUUGGACUAAAGGAGGACUCACUUGAUUCUGGGAAUCAUUCAUCAGAACUGCUUUUUCUUGGAUCUCUAGUCUGUGGAAACGUUCUUUUUUUUUUUUUUUUAAUAAUUUGGUAUUUAUUGAAAGUCAGAUGGAUUCUUUUGCUUUCUGAGGGGUGAACACAGAAGACUGCAACAAGAACCAAAUGACAUGCAAGGAUUUUUCUUAAUUAUGCUGUACUCUCAGCAUCAGAUACAUUCAACCAUAACUGUAUCUUCCUGAGAGAUGGAUUUCACUUUCAUACGUUAAUGGAUGGAGUCUACAAAUCAGUGAAAAAAGUUUUUGUUAAAAUAAAGAGCAAUAAAAUUAUGUAAAUAUUCAAGUAACCUUUUUUCUAAUUAAAAAAAAAAUUGUAAUCACUGAUUCUAGAAUGACAGCAACUUCUGUUUAACCUUACGUGAAGGAAAAAAAAUAUAUGGAAAGAACUUAAUGUUUGCUGAAUGAGUCCUUUCCAUGGAGAUUUGCUCUGUUUCAUUGAAGUAAUGAAGUUUCAGUACGUGGCCAAAGCUUGGAUUCCACUUUUCGUCCUGCAUUUCCACUUUUCUUCGUGAUUGCAUCAAAGAAAAAUGGCAUUCGUGUUACUUGGUUUUUUUCCUGCUUAUCAUUUACACUUUGACGUUGUUUGCUAAUGAGUGCUGUGUGAAGUUCUGGGAUUUGGCUACUCUUCAUUGGUGAUUAUGUUUAAAAGCACUAUGCAGAUUCUGCCCUGACAUAAAGUGUGUUAUUAUGUUUUUAGUAAUUGUACAUUUUUCAUUCUAGAGUUUUCUAUAAAUUUGAGGCUUGCCUUCUCAAAAAAGAAACUAUGCAGCCAUUGAAUGAAAUGUCUUUGGGGUACGGUGUGACUGGAAUGUUUGUUAGAAAUUUGUUCACACUAUCAAAUAUUGAUAUCUUGGAGCCAGCAGAAGAGCAGAUUUUGGGAGGUGGUAAUAACAAAAUUUAAUUUCUUCCCAACAACUUAAUUUUCUCAUUUAUUUUACAGAAUAGUAGUGAAAUAUUUGAUGAAACUUUGUAUUUUGGUAGCACUACAUAGAAAAUGUGUUUUAGAUUUAUGAUGAUCAUAUUUCUCACCAAUGUAAUUUCAGUCUCAGCAGUGAUUUUCAAACUUAGGGAAAGGGACAGCAUUAGAUUUUUUUUUUUUUUCAUUUUUUUAAAAUGAUAUCUUACCUGAAACUACAAACGACAAAAGAGAAUUAGAAAUGUUUGAAUUAAAGUGAAGAAGGGUUGGGGGAGAUGGGCCUGAACCCACUUCCUGUCUCAAUCCAUGCUACCCCAAACACUCCAGGGAACCUCUGAGGUUUUAUUGGGUGCACUUUGAAAAUUUCUCUUCUAUAGUGUGUUUGUUUGAUUUUAAAUCACAGAGAAAACUGGGUUUUACUCUUAGAGAAACAUUUUCAUCCAGUUUUUUAGUUUGCUUCAUUUGACUUCCUAAAUCAUUUUUGAGUUCACAAGGAUUUGGUACUUUUCUGUUUAGCUUUCUCUCUCUAAGCUUUAUCUACCUUAAAAACAAAGUCCUUUUUUUAAUGGCCAGUCCAACCAAUUGAUUUCUCAAACUGAAGUGCCCAGGUGUGGACUCAUCAAUUUCCGUUAGAAUAGGGACAUCCUACUUAAGAGUUGGUGCAGCUCCAAGGAGCUGACUUGUCCUUGCUUGGGGUUUUUUUUUUUUUUCUUUCACCUUCUCAAGUUUCCAUGGCCUUUGUGUGUUCUUUUUAUGUUGAUUUAAAUUCAUAUGGUUUUCCACAAAUCCCUUCUUUGGCUACAUUGUCUCCUUAUUCAAUGGAUUAUCCCUUUGUGGGGGCUGCUUAUUUUAAAGAUGUUGGGGGGGAAACAAACCCAAAUCUACGAGCAGUAGUUGCACAUAGUUGCCAGUUUUACCUUCUUAGUCAUUAGAUUUCCAAACCAUGUUGCAGUUUUUUGGUCCAGAUAUAGUAUUUCUUUCUAAUAAAGUUUUAUGUUGCUGCUCUAAAUACAGAUGCAAUAUUUAUUGACUCUGUAAUCAGAUAGAAAAAACUUAACUUGGUUUGUGUGGUAUGACUUAUAAAGAAAUGAUGUAUAUUUGUUAUUUUGUUACCCUUUAGAUUGUCAGAGACUCCCCCAAUUUAAUCAACAAAGUUUUAUAAAGUAAAUGAAAAUAUUAAUAGAAAUUAGUUUAUUUACUUGGUUCUUAUAACUGAUAUCUCUGUGCUUUUAUAAUUGUGAUUUGUUUUUUUGUUUUUUUUUCUAUUUUCUGUGAACAGUUUUAAUGUUCGGUUUUGGUGUUUUACACUGAAAUUACAUAUAAAUUUUUAAUUUAUUUCAUACAGGCAACUUGCAUUUUAAAAAAUACACUUUGAAGUUUAUCAUCUUGAAAUUGGGGCUUACGUUGUUUAUCUGUCUUGAGCAUUAGUACUUUAUGACUUUGGCCUUAUGGCAACAUCAUGAUUAUUAAUCCGUCAGCCUUUAAUGUGGUCACUGUUUCUUAUCCAGACCCUGACUUUCUAGUAGUUUAUUUUGCUAGCCCAGAUUUCUGCUUAACCAAAUAUAAGGGAGUUUCAGAGGGGUGAUCUUAGCUGUCACCUAGAUUCUGUCAGCCAACCAGUGAUUGUCUGGAAUAUCUUAGGAAAUGAACUGUAAUUGUCAGCCUCCUAAAAUCAAUUUUUUUUUUUUUUUUUUUGAGGCUGAGUCUUGCUCUUGUUGCCCGGGAUGGAGUGCAAUGGUGCGAUCUUGGCUCACCGCAACCUCCACCUACAGGGUUCAAGCGAUUCUCCUGCCUCAGCCUCCCGAGUAGCUGGGAUUACAGGCAUGUAUCACCACGCCCAGCUAAUUUUGUAUUUUUAGUAGAUACGGGGUUUCUCCAUUUUGGUCAGGCUGGUCUCGAACUCCCGACCUCAGGUGAUCCGCCUGCCUUGGCCUCCCAAAGUGCUGGGAUUUACAGGCGUGAGCCACCGCGCCUGGCCAAAAUAAAAUGUUUUUAUCUUUCUUCACUUAGAACUAUGAAGGCCUUUUCUUGUUCUGGUAACCCCCCACAGUGUAAUUGGUGCUGAAAAUAGUUUCGUGCCUGAGGUCUGUUGUCACUCACUCACUUUCUGACAAUUAGGUGAGCCACUUGAGGAUUUUCUGGCCUGAAGUUAUAAAAACUUGGCAUCUGUCCUAAGGUAAUUGUAAAGGCAAAAUGAAAGCAUUGAGGUGAAUUUAGGUUAUAUGGCAUUUAUCUGGUAAUGUGUUUCAGAAAAGCUAGAAUGAAAAUGUGAUGUAAGGGAUAGCAAGUGUAGGUUGAUUCAUAAUUCUUGGUAUAAAACCAAGUUUUCCUUAGUCUUGAGGAAUUUGAAGAAAGGUAAAAUGUUGGAUUUUAAGCAAAGUAGGAUUGACCAGAGACUGUUCUGACUUUGACAUUCAGACCUUUCAGAUGUUCUUCCUUCAGACCAGUCCAAGACACUCAGCAUUUCCAGCCAAGUUGUCUUUUUUUUCUGCCAAUAAAGUAUUCAUUAGUUGACGUUUGUUUGUAUUUUAAGUAAAGUCAAUUUUUUUUAAAGCAUUAAUUUAAUUCACGGGUAUGCCUUUCAUUUCUCUGGCCUUCAGUUGGUUUAAAAAAAAAAAAAAAAAAAAAAGCACUUAGCCGGACCAUUCUUUCUUUAGUAAACAUUUUUAUUUUCUUAAUUUUUCCUGAAAGAUUUUCUUCAUUUUCAUGGAAUGUCAUAAUGACACUACCAUUAUUUUCUAGCUCUUUGCAUAAUAGAAAAAUGUAGAGCAGUGCACCAUUUAAACACGUCUGACAUUGGAUUUAGUGGUCCUAGGUUCAUGUGAUUUGGGAGCCUUAAGUUGUUAUUUAGAUUGAUUCAGCCUGAUUCACCAUCUUUUUUACUACAGUUCUACAUGAAUGUGGUGAAACAGGUAGAAGAAAAUUAAGCAUUUCUCUGCUUUUGGAGUCUAAUGUUCCUGCCUAGUGACUGGUUUGUAACACCCCCCUCACCCCUACUUUGUUAGGAACCUGCAAUUCCUAAAAGAAAUAAAUAAAGCUGUACCCAAUGUCCAUUCUUUAAUGCUUGCCUGGUUGAAUAAUGUUUGUUUUUUCUGUUUAUGUCAGUAGUACAUGCUUAUUGUGGAAAAUUUAGACAAUACAGAAAAGUAUAACAAUUAAUUGCCUAUGAUUCUGUCACCAGAAAAAAUCACUUGAUAUUUUUGCAUCUUCCUUGCCAUUGUCUUUGCUACUUCUGCAUAUUUUUACUUAGUUUCAUCAUUCUCAGUGUAAUUUAUAUCUUGGGGUUUUUCCCCGCAACCUACAGGCAUUAUUCCAUGUCAUUAAAACUGUGUCAACUAUUAUUAAUUUUAUGGUACUCCAUUGUUAUGGAUGUGCCAUGUUUCAUAUAACCUUUACUUAUUUUGAACAGUUUAGAUUAUAUCUCAUAAUGCCACAAUGAAUGUCUUUGUGUAUAAAUUAUUUUCUUAGGAUAAAAUACUGGAGGUGGAAUUUCUAGUCAAGGGUAUAUGAACACUUUUGUAGUUCUUGAUUCAUACCACUUUUCCACAUGGGUAUGUUAAUUUAUACUGCAGCUAGAUGGUAUGGGAAGGGUGGUCUAGCCAUAUUUUCCAAGAACAUGCAACGUUUUAUCUUUAUGCAGGCAUCUGCACUAAGACCCUCUGCCUUUCUGACUCUAUGGAACGGGGUUAACUGAUAUGGAGAUCAUUGGCAGAGAUUUUCCCAAGCUUUCUUAGUUUUAAAUAUAUCUGACAUGGGCCGGGUAUGGAGGCUCACGCCUGUAAUCCCAGCACUUUGGGAGGCCAAGGCGGGCAGAUAAUCUGAAGUCAGGAGUUGGAGACCAGCCUGGCUAACAUGGAACAUGGUGAAACCCCAUCUCUAGCAAAAACAUAAAUUAGGUGGGUGUGAUGGCAGGCGCCUGUAGUCCCAGCUACUUGGGAGACCGAGGCAGGAGAAUCGCUUGAACCCAGGAGGCGGAGGAUUUGCAGUGAUCCGAGAUUGUGCCACUGCACUCCAGCCUGGGUAACAAAGCAAGACUCUCUAAAAAAAAAAAAAAAAAAAAAAAAAAAUAUAUAUAUAUAUAUAUAUAUAUAUAUAAAAUCUGACAUGUUUCAGAAACACCUACGUAUGGCUAUCCAAGCUUUUCCCAUGAUUUUACUGGCACUGUAAAGUUGCACAAAUAUUCUUUGUCAGACUACGUUUUCCAUCUUUAGUUCAAAAGUUUUGUCACUUUUUAAAAAAAGCCUCUUGUACCUAAGGCCUGCCCUUAAGAGGUCAGCUCUCUUUUUCCUCUUCCUGUAGGCCCCAUUAUGGCCUUUCUGAGCUCCCCAAAGCCAGUAGAAUCUACUGAGCCAAAGGCAUUCCAUCCCCAAACUGAAAAGUGGUAAGGCUAAAAGCUAUAAAAACAGGCAAACAUUGCCUGUUUUCACUUUAUAUUCCCUUAUGUUUCCAAUAAGGGUAGCUGCAGGGAAAGAAAAAAACAGAUUGCUACCUUCAGAUGUUUGAGGUACAACAUUUUCUUGAUUGGCGUAGCACAAUCAUUUCCCAAACUGCUUCCUAUUUCUGAAUGGCUUUUUUAAAAAGCUUUAUUUUGUGUUCUCAAAGCUUAAUUAUUUUAAGUGACGAAGAGUGUUACCGUGUUGUAGAAUAGCAUAUGCCUCUUAUUUUGGCCUUCAUCAAACUGUUUAAUAAAUGUUUAGAGUGUUUUGUAAGUACACGUGGAAUAGAGUGUUACAGAAGUUUUGGUUCCAGACAUCAGGCAGCUUAUAAUCAAGGUUCCAAAAAUCAAGAAUUCUUAAGCUGGGCAUGGUGGCUCAUGCCUGUAAUCCCAGCACUUUGGGAAGCCAAGGCAGGCAAAUCACUUGAGGCCAGGAGUUUGAGACCAGCCUGGCCAACUUGGUAAAACCCCAUCUCUACUAAAAAUACAAAAAAUUAGGGCAUGAUGGCUCAUGUCUGUAAUCCCAGCUACUUGGGAGGCUGAGGGAUGAGAAUUGCUUGAACCUGAGAGGCGGAGGUUGCAGUGACUCAGGAUCAUGACCCUGUACUCCAGCCUGGGUGACAGAGUGAGACCAAAAAAAAAAAAAAAAAAAAAAAAAAAAAGUAACAGGCAUUGUGCAAAGAAUUUUCCAAGAAUGUCUCAUUCUUGCAAUGGCUUCUCAGAGGAAAGUGGUGUUAUUCCCCAUUUUACAAAUGAAACAGGUUUAGGUAAGUUUCCCAAGGUCACAGUGAAUGAGUAGUGGACUUGGGAGUCUGACCUAGACUUACCCCAAAAGCUCUCUGCGUAAACUGAAGUGACGUUAAUUAGCUGUGCUAUCUAGGAGACUGAUAUGGGAAUCUAGACUUAAAAUUAUGAGAACUGGUUUCAGAUGAUGGCCAGAGUAAUAAGGAAGGAGUGGAUGCUGAAGCCAUUUCAAAGGAAGACUCAAGAUUCAGUGACUGAAUAUAGGAGUAAGGGUUGAGUGCAUUUUUCAUCCAUUUUUCAAGCCUGGGUAACUUGGAUGUUAAUGGCACUAUCUACAGAGACAGGAGGCAGUUUAGAGUGAAGACGAAUCAUGUAUGGGAGACAGUGAUGAAUGUUAAGCAUGGGAUUUCAGAAAUGAAGCAUCCAUGAGGCUCAUUCCUGGUUUUUCUGCAGUCUUUUAAAUAAAAGUACAAACCUCCCUUGUCAUCCAUUUUUGCCUUCACUUAUCUCCAUUCUGUAUUAUGUUCUAGUCACGCCCCAGUCACUGAUCCCUUCCUAGGCCAUACUUGGCUACAUCUUAGCCUUUUCUUUUGAUUUUUCUCUUCACUGCCUUGCCCAUUACAAAUUUGGCUGCCACCUGAGGCCCUGCCAUACCCUACAGCUCACACCAGCGUGGGCUGUGUUCACAUUCUACAUAUCUCAAGAUACAGUGGUUGCUGUCCUUCCCCCCUACUGCAUCGUUACACGUCUCUAAAAAAUCUCUGCCUCUGAAGCUCAUGCCAAGAGGUUAUACUAUCAGCUACCUCUAGUCUUAUAACUGCCUGAUCAUUCCCUUUGAUUUGCUGGAAGCUUUGACUCACAGUGUUCCUUGCCUUCCUUGAUUCUGGUCAUUAUUAUUAAUAUCUUGAACAUUCUAUAGAUGAUUUAUCCAAGUUGGUCUGUGAGGUAUUGGUUACUUUACCUCCAGCAUUUUCGUCUACUGAACCACGCUUUCUGUUUUCCUCUUUGCUACUUGUCCAGACUGUUCUUUCAUUAUUGCAGCCUUGAAGAAAUCCUCAGUAACCUAUCCAUCCUCCGACAUGACGUAGCAUAGUUCCUUUGCCCAUUCUCAUCAGUUAUAACAAAUGUUAUUGCCCUCUUUUCAGGCCACUUCCUUCUCAGAAGAUGACUUUGCUGCUUAAUUCAAACAGAAGGGACAGUCCGAAAGCAUGAUUUCUUCCCCACCUAUGACCACCUCCAUCCUUUUUUGUUUCCAGUUUCAGAGAAUGAGGUAGGCCUUUAAGGCCAACUGACUCUGGUCUCCUCCUGUCAUCUUCAGGACCUUCCUCUGUCAGACUUCCCCUCUCUUAUCUCCAUGUCUCUCACCUCUCUACUGCUGCUUUUCUUGGCUUACAAAUGGUCUCAGUCAUCCAGUAUUUGAGAUUAUAUUAGGUGCCAGGCAUUGUAUCAGGCACUUGGAACACAAGGCAGGAUCCUGCCCCCACCAAAGUUGUGCUCCAAUAGCGUCAACAGAGGUGUGAAAUAGGGAGAUUACAAUGUUAAUGGUAAAAGACAAAGUAUAGGGUGCUACAAGAGCAUGUAAAUGAGGCACCUCAAUGAUUUAAUAGAAGUAAUGUGGAGAAAUGUGAGGAUUGAUGAAAAGCUUGUCCAAAAAGGGCCAGAAAUGUUUAGAAUUGCUGGAAGUUUGCUAAGGAAUAUUGAGAAAUAUGCAUAGAUAGAUCGUGAAGGGCCUUGUAAAACAGUGAUGAGACAUUGAAGAGUUUUCAUGAUCAUUAGUAGUAAUGAGAAUUUGUUGAGUUUGGCAUGAUUAUCUCCAUAUUACAAAUGUGGAAACAGAUUCUGACAGGAUAAGCGACUUACUUGCCCAGGGUCAUGCAGCUUGUAAUUGAGGAGUCAGGUUUCAAAUCCAGUUUUAACUACUUUCUCAGAGGCCUUUCUUGAUCAUUCUAUCUAAAAAGCAAGUGUUCCCUAACUAUUAUCCCAGUACCCUGGUUUAUAUACUCUUAAUACAUAAAAUAAUCCCUGCAUAUUGUGUGUUUCCCCUACUAGAUUGUAAGCUCCAUGAGGGCAGAGGUGAUAACUUUUUUCACUUGCAUCCCAGAGCCUAACAUGAUAUGGGCUACAUAGAAGGUGCCCAGUAAAUAUUGGUGGAUGAAGAAAUGGUGGAUAACCAUUUGCAUUUGACUUAUGCUGACUGGAAAUUCAAUACCUUUGGAAUAUAUAAUACCUCAGCAGUAAGCAUUCACCAAGAGAGGAAAACAGAAGGAGGUGCAUGUUUAGGGUAGGUGGUACGGGAGAUGGAUGCUGAGGUGUUGAAAGGCAGCAUACUCACCUUCUGAACUCCAAAACUUACAGGGGCAAGGGCCAUUAAUGAGGGGUGGGUAGAGCAGUGCACAGUGGGGAUAAUAUGGGAGUAGGUGUAUUAAACCUGGAAGUGUAAGCAACUCCUUGUAGACCCACCCUACUGUGUAUAAAAGGCUGGAGAAAUUCUUCAUAUGAUCUACUCUAGGUUAUGUACUGAGGACCACCUUAUCUGGGUCAGGUACACUACACAGAGUGCUACAAUAUAAUUGUAAACAUAAUUUAUCCUCACUGUGAUGGCUAGCCACCUGACCCAAAUCAUUAUUAGACUCAAUACUUUGGAACUGGAACAAAAAUCAGUUGACCUGAUGUCUGAAAGACAUGCCCACCUGCUAUUUGACAAGCUAUAGACAUAUCCUACCAAUUGAUGGGUAGUAGCACUGAAACUAUGAAAGUGGAUGAACUCAUCCAGAGGAGUUGAUGAGUGAGAAAAGAAGACUGGAAAAGGAACACAAGGAAAUCAAGAAGCAGCAGCUGAGACUGAAGGAAAAUAACGUGGUAUUACAGAGGCCAAAAAAUAGAGUAUUUCAAGAAGCAAGUGGUUAGUGGAGUUAAAAGCUGCUGAUACAACCUAAAAAAGUAAGUAUCCAUUUUUUAAAAAACUUUCAUUUAAAAUACCACCAUAUUUUAUUGAAUCUAAGUACCUGAUUGUAAGACAUUAAAGAAAAAUUAAACCUGCUAAUUAAACUAUGA